AUGGACUCAUUUUGGGCCAAUCCCAGCCCUCCCACCCUCUACCCGCUGAUCUCCUGCUCCUCCGACUGCUCCUCCUCCUCCUCCUCGGUCGUCGCCUUCGGCUGCGUCGCCUCCUCCUUCUUCCCUCCCCCCCUGACCUUCUCCUGGUCCGGGGUGGGCUCUGCCCCCUCUGUCACCUUCCCCGAGGUCAAUUUGGGCUCCAGCUCCUUCGGCUUGAGCUCUUUGGUCACCCUGGGGGUGGAGGAGGCACAAAAAGGGACCUUCAGCUGCCAAGCCCGCCACGAGGCCACCGGCGCCGUCGUCAGCGCCGAUGUCAGAGACCUGUGCUGGACCCCUCCCCCCCGCGUCACCGUCCUGGCCGACCCCAACCCGGCCGACCCCGCCGACCCCCACGUCCACCUGCUCUGCCUGCUGGAAGGGCGUGGCCUGGACCACACCCAGGUCACCUGGCUGGUCAACGGGAACCCCCUGGAGGCCCCCCAGGAGGUCACCACCUGCCAGGAUCGGGCCCUGAGCAGCCGCGUCAACGCCAGCCGCGCGGCGUGGGGGGUCGGGGCCGAGUUCACCUGCAGGGCCACCAGGGACGACCUCAGGGACCCCGUGGAGGCCUCCAUCAGCACCUUCUGCUCGGGCCCGGUCCCGUCGGUGUCCGUCUCUCUCCUCCCCCCUUCCUUGGAAGAUCUCUACCUCUCCCACAACUCCUCCCUCACCUGCGUGGCCUCCAACCUCAAAU